rnacentral:snRNA from 1 species
AGCUUUGCACAGUGGCAGUAUCACAGCCAGUGAGAUUUACCCAAGGCAUGAUUACUGCUAA